rnacentral:tRNA from 1 species
GGGGAAUUAGCUCAGUUGGUAGAGGGGCUGCGUUCCCGUAGGGUGUCCGGCGGACAAUCGCACCGCAGAGGUCAGGAGUUUCUCCCCUGGAGACGCUCCGCGAACGAAUCUCCUAUUCUCCA